AAAGUACUCCCUCCGUCCCAAAAUUCUUGUCUCAGAUUUGUCAAGAUACUGAUGUAUCAAGUCACAUUUUAAUAUUAGCUACAUCCGUAUCUAGACAAAUCUAAAACAAGAAAUUUGGGACAGAGGGAGUAGUUG
rfam:Triticum urartu cultivar G1812 contig516200, whole genome shotgun sequence.